CACAAAGAACUGAACACUAACAACAGUCAUGUGAGUCAGUUUAGAAGUGAGUCCUUCUCCAUUUCAGCCUUAAAACGACUGAGGCCCUCGUUGACGUCUUGAGCACAACUUUUCAGACUUUGAAGCAGAUGACCCAGAAACAUAACAGAUAGCUGAACAGAAAAUAAGAUGGUUCUUAUAUCCUUGGCUCGAAAAUGUGAUACCAUAACUUCCACAUCAUUCUCUUAGCCAAAAAACCCUGUAGGAAACAAUUGUUCUGCAAUGCACACUCAUAGUAAAUUUGUUGUUUUAAUAAGUUCUCAACAUCAAGCUUGUGAAGAAAACCAACAGGUAUAGAAUUUACAAACAAAACUUUGUUGCUCAUAAAAUCUGCACUGCAAGAAGAAAAAAUAGAAAAGAAACCAUCACAAUUUUUAACAUGCCAAAAUCACAGGUAUUUUUUAUAUCUAAUUGUACUAAAAUUGCUUUAUUGUUAGCAGUGGAAGUGCGAUCUCAUUAUGUGAAAGUAGGAAAGAUAAGACCUCAUAACUCUCAACAGAACAGGAGAAGGUAUACCUUUUAGCUAAGAGUUACUAAACCUCGAAAAGCCUAUUGCAAAGGAACACUGAUCAUGCAUAUAUGAAAGUGGCCACAAUAUUUGUCAGCUAAACUAUUGAGAACAAUAAGAGAUGUGUGGACAUUUGUCAAGGAAACAAAUUAUUUAAGUUGUAUGCAGAGAUCAGAAAUUUCAUCUAGGGGAGUAAAAUGUUAAAUAUAUUUGUUAGCUGAGAUAUUUCAACCACUAGAAUACAUACGAUGAACUUUUAUUGAUUAUACAAAGGCUAAUAUUUUCAUCAAACUUUAAGUACUAAAGUUAUAAGUUUCAGGAUAUGAACUUAACAUGCAAACAGCACAGCAAAAGAAACUAUCAACACGGUUGAUAUGGUUUGGCUGUGUCCCCACCCAAAUCUCAUCUUAAAUUACAACUACCACAAUUUCCAUGUGUCCUGGGAGGAAACA